rnacentral:rRNA from 1 species
AACGAACGCUGGCGGCAGGCUUAACACAUGCAAGUCGAACGGGUGCAGCAAUGCAUCAGUGGCAGACGGGUGAGUAACACGUGGGAACCUUCCUAGGGGUACGGAACAACUCAGGGAAACCUGAGCUAAUACCGUAUACGUCCGUAAGGAGAAAGAUUCAUCGCCCCUAGACGGGCCCGCGUCGGAUUAGGUAGUUGGUGGGGUAACGGCCUACCAAGCCUGCGAUCCGUAGCUGAUCNGAGAGGAUGAUCAGCCACACUGGGACUGAGACACGGCCCAGACUCCUACGGGAGGCAGCAGUGGGGAAUCUUGGACAAUGGGCGCAAGCCUGAUCCAGCCAUGCCGCGUGAGUGAAGAAGGCCUUAGGGUUGUAAAGCUCUUUUACCAGGACGAUAAUGACGGUACCUGGAGAAUAAGCCCC